rnacentral:rRNA from 1 species
UUCGUAGGGCGCAAGCGUUGUCCGGAAUUAUUGGGCGUAAAGAGCUCGUAGGCGGUUUGUCGCGUCUGUCGUGAAAGCUUGGGGCUUAACCCCAAGUCUGCGGUGGAUACGGGCAGACUAGAGGCAGGUAGGGGAGAACGGAAUUCCCGGUGUAGCGGUGAAAUGCGCAGAUAUCGGGAGGAACACCGGUGGCGAAGGCGGUUCUCUGGGCCUGUACUGACGCUGAGGAGCGAAAGCGUGGGGAGCGAACAGG